ACAAAAAACGUAUGACUAAUCAAUGUACUGAGACACCUGUUAUUGAUGUGGUAAUAUAUACAACUCUAUAUCGUUGUAACCGGAUUGUUCGUGACUGACAAACAUAUGCUGAACAUCAUCAUCAUCUCGAAUCUUCUUCUGAUAAAAGUUUACUUGGUUUUCUGCAAACCAAACCAGAUUUUUAUAGAUGAUCUGACCCACAUUACUGCACUGCAAUUUCUUUUCUAUUCUUUGUUUCAGAUGUGAAAAAUUUGAUCGUCAAUUUAUU
rnacentral:lncRNA from 1 species